UUCCACUUCUUGCGCCUCCGUGAUCUUCCAAAAAUUAUUAUAUAGCACUGUGAUGAUUUAUAGUCGACUCGACAUUUUUUAAGGAAAUUUUUGGAAAAGUUAAGUCGUCUAGAUAAGCGGGGUUCCUAUGCUAGAUUUACAUAAAAAGAAAUGAACAGAGGUUGGUUUGUAAAAAUGUGCAUGUUGUUUUAAAAAGAAAAA